rnacentral:rRNA from 1 species
CCUACGGGGGGCAGCAGUGGGGAAUGUUGCGCAAUGUUCGUAAGCGUGACGCAGCGACGCCGCGUGAAUGACGAAGGCCUUCGGGUCGUAAAGUUCUUUCGACAGGGAAGAAAAUGCCUAUAAGUAACUGUGUAUGUAUUGACGGUACCUGUAUAAGCAGCCCCGGCUAACUCCGUGCCAGCAGCCGCGGUAAUACGGAGGGGGCGAGCGUUGUUCGGAGUGACUGGGCGUAAAGAGCACGUAGGCGGUGUUGUAAGUCAUUAGUCAAAGACUAGAGCUCAACUUUAGUAAGGCUAGUGAUACUAUAAUACUAGAGUAUCAGAGAGGAUUGCAGAAUUCCUGGUGUAGCGGUGAAAUGCGUAGAUAUCAGGAGGAAUACCGUUAGCGAAGGCGGCAAUCUGGCUGGAAACUGACGCUGAGGUGCGAAAGCGUGGGUAGCAAACAGGAUUAGAUACCCUAGUAGUC